AUCCCCUCCAGCUGCACACUGACCAGUUAAAUCCUCAAGAUGAAAUCACUCUGGCACCAACAUCCGUGCACAGCAGAGCAAAAAUGACAAAAAAUGGCGAAGUAUGAGUCUUUACACCACCAGUAAGGCAAACUGGUACAAUAAAGAUCCAACCAAAAUGUUCAUCUGCCAUGUCCGAUCUGAACAUAUUUCAAUAAUAGUGUCCACCAGCCCUCGUAAUUCCAUAGAAUGUGACUGUAACUACUAAGCUUUAAAUGUGAUAUUUCGUACUUGUGUCAUUCUUUGUCUGUGACAGAUUUCUUUAUGAAAACCUGUGCACUUGUACAGUCAGUCACCGUGAGAGAAAAUCUAUGCUUUUUGUUGUCAUCAUGUUGUUCUGCAGCCUGUGUGAGUCACAGUGUCUAAUUGCUUGAUAUGUGUGCUGUCUGUUUGAAAUAAAUGUUGCAUGGAGACUC